UCCGAAACGGCUGGGGCUCAGAGGGAUAAGGAGCAGAAAGGCGCGCAGAUCGAAUGGCACGGCGUGGAAGAUUAAGGUAAGACGAUUCAGAGGGAAAUUCACUGGAAACGCGCCACGACAAGAUAAACUUAUUUUCUUACCAAAUGGAUCCUUUGAUCUUAAAAAGCUCAAAGCAAGAGGCAUUGUGUGUCAGUAAAUACACACAUAUAUAAAUCGCAUGCAGAAAAAAAAAAAGUUUAUGUAAGUCUUUUGUCUGUCCUGGUGAAACAAAUCAAGCAAAAUGGAAACGUACACGCAAGCGAAUGUGUAUUUUUUAGAGUUUGAGCCCUUAGUGUUUUCAUUCUUCUAACAUGUCCACACAUUUUGGGUAACAUUGCCCUGCCACUGUACAACGUUCGUUGUUUACAGUCUUGAAGUGUCACAUUUCUAAUUUUCAAUCUAUUAAAAUGCUAAUUAAACCAUCAGUGUCAGUCCUUCAGAGAUCGUCCUUUACUAAGCAGUUGAUUAAAUGCGCCGUUUCAGUGUGCAUCACGCGGCAUUUCGGCGUGCCAUGCUAGGCAAUCGCAGCAGCAGAGGCGCAGACCGGACUGCAGCCAGUGGGCAAACCUAGGUCACCUAACAGGCAUUCUCCAGGACGACUAAAACCAGGAAAUUCACACAGAACAACAUUUAACACAACAAGUGGGCUCCGUCAGGAAAAUACGAGCGAACAGGGUGGCAAGAUGGGCAUGAAUGAGCCGGCUUCCUGCGCGAUUGUAUAGUAAUUCUGCGGGGGAGGCGUAAGGACAUUUGAGCACCCACCUAAGGACACCACAGGAAACACAUAGUUUUUUUAGGGAAACAAAAUGACUUAAGAAAAAUAGCGAUGACUUUAAUUACACAGCUUUAGAAUUUACCAACACCAAUAAAACAGUUAAGAAACACUGAAUAUGGGUAUUAGAUGCCAAUUUGGAAACAUCCAAUAUAGCUAUAUUUUUAAGUUCCUGUUAACGUGAAAUUUGCUGCAGAGUUCUAGGUUGUCCUUCAGCUGUUCUAUGUCAUAAACAUGCAUCUGGAUUGUUCUGCGGGUUCUUAUUGUGUGUCUGUCUGUGGUUUUGUCCACGUGUGUGAUCGUGUGUAACUGAGCCUGCACAUGUGGCUCAGAUAUACAUUACACUGUGGAGACAUUUGGUGAUAAAAGACCUGUUCAUGUGAUAAAAGUGAUUAAAAAAAAAACUGUCAUUUUUUCGGUCCCCACAAGGGGAAAUUCAAUUUUAUAAAAAUCUGCGAAUGCAAUCAAAAAAACUAAAAAUGCCAAAAGCCUUGUAUUUUGUUUGGCUACUUAUGGUUAAGGUUAGGGCAUCAUUGCUAGGAUUAGGGGUUUUCCUAUAGAAAUUAAUGGACCCACAAAGAUUUGGGUACAGGUGUGUGUGUGUGUGUGUGUGUGUGUGUGUGUGUGUGUGUGUGUGUGUGUGUGUGUGUGUGUGUGUGUGUGUGUGUGUGUGUGUGUGUGUGUGGUCCAGGUAUACCUUACCACCAAAUGUCCCCAUAAUGUGAUGAAUAUCUGUUUUUUUUUCCUUAUGGGGACCAGUUUCCUGGACCCUACAGGGGAAAACUAUUUUAUAAAAAUCCGUGACUGCAAUGAAAACACUAAAAAUGCAAAAACUCUUGUAUUUGAUUUGGUGACUUAUGGUUAUGAUUAGGGCUGGGUAGGGAUUAAGGUUAUCAUAGUUAGCAUUAGCAUUUUUCCCAUAGAAAUGAAUGAGCGGUCCCCAAAAAGAUAUGAUCAUACGACUGUGUGUAUGUGUGUGCAUGUGAGUGUGUGUGUGUGUGUGUGUGUGUGUGUGUGUUCCUGUUCCAGGGUCUUCCCCACUCUGCAUCUCUCUUCUGGCCGCAGAGACAGCCUCACUCUCUGCAUCAGAAGCCGAAUGAAAGGAAACACUGAGUUAUCUCUUUGUGCACUGAACUGGCAAGGAGACACACAGCGAUCCAGACCCGGCAGCCCCCGCAUUCCGGCGCUCUUACGCUCCCCAGAAAGGUAACAGAGAAACAUGAGGGAUAAUGACAGCCAAUUAAAAUGCGGGUGUGGCCAGGGUCUGCCAAUCACCACCAACAUACUGAAUAUUCAUAAAUCAAGCCCAAAUUGCUGCAAACUAAUUAACUUUUAAAUGACAGGAAGACGAUCUUAUCGCUGAGCGUUUCAGCCACUUACACGGCUCAUCGUACUCACUCAUCGAGGCGGGGGGGGGGGGUAAAACGUGAACGUCCAACUAACGGUACAACAGCCCCUCCUACCGCGAAGUCCAGCUGUUUCAGCACUUUACCCACUGACUCCAUUCUGCUUACAGGACGGGGACGCGGAGAGCUCACGCCACUGCUCUCCGCCGCAGCCAUCCCUCGGCUCCUCCAAGGCGACUAACCGGUACUGGCUGGGAGCGGCUCCACUGGCCGGCGUUACUCCUCCGUGCGCAGGGAGGGCAGGCGGCGGCGGCGGCGCUGGAGGAUCCCCGACGGCGACCACGGCAAUCGCUGAUCCGCCCCAUGCAGCAAGCCGGCGAGUGGAGGAGGGGUCGAAGGAGGAGGAGGAGGGGAGCCUCGCCCAGCCGGGCGCAUUACAUCAUGGGCUUUUCUGCCAAACAGCUGGGGAGGGGGGUCUCCCGAUACCUGCGAUAAAGGUGAAUUAAAAUCAUACAGUGUGACGGUUUCAGGAGCCGCUCUGCUUUACCGGCGGGGGGAGCUGAUGCAGACGCGGAGCUACCUGACGAUCGGCCGGGGACCCAGCGGAACCAGGUGGACUGCUGCAAGUUCAGCAGUGACGGGAAGCCGCGGUUGUAUUUAACGCGACAUAGUGUGGAUAAUUGGGAGCAGUUUACCGCUAUAAACACGUAUAACGUUAAAGAAGGUCAAAUACUUUUAAAACUCGUAAUCGUUUGUUUGGGCACAGUUGGUGGUGCCAGGAUUACAGUGAAAGGAAAAGUGAACUUUAUUAGACGACCAUACAACGCGUGGCACCCAGAACGGCCAAAAAUAAACCAGAACCGACGUUAAAUGUUUAUCACUACCUUACCCUCAGCGCAUUUACGCCCGUAUCAAGGAAAAUGACAUAAAAUCACAAAUGGUGGGACUGUCGGCAUAUAAUAGGCCUAUGCAGAUUUCUAUAAAAUUCAUAUUAAAAUUCACUAAGUGGCGUCAUAGUGCCGGCCGUCCGGACACGGACAGACUGGGAGCCGCCUGAGACGGACGGAGUCCAGAGUCCUGGCCCAGUUCGGGAGACACCGAGGAUCAUAAGACUACUGUUACGGCUUCUGAGGGCAGCGCAAGGACGGUCAUGUCGGUAUAAAUCUGGAAAUGCAAACUGCAACCAUUAUUGGUCACGAUAAUAAAAACAAAAAUAACAUCAAUAAUAA